AAAGGCAGUUAGGUUUUAAAAUAUAAAAGUUUAAUGAUCUUCUAUAUAAAAGUAAAAUUUGAACAUAGAUAGUUAACUCAAAUAUGACUUAUAUACUGAAGCUGCGAUAGUUUUGAGGGAAACUGGGAUUAGAUACCCCAUUAUUCAUAACUGUAAAUUUAAUAAAAAUUUUACCAGAGUACUAUGAAUAUCUAAAUAAUUUAAAACUCAAAGGGCUUGGCGGUGUUUUAGACCUAUCAGGGGAACCUGUCUCGUAAUCGACAAUCCACGUUAAACCUAACCCUAUUUUGUACCCAGUUUGUAUACCGUCGUCGUCAGGUAACUUUUAAAAAUUCAGAAGUUAGCAAAAAAAUAGACAUAAAUUAGUACGUCAGAUCAAGGUGCAGCUAAUAAAAGGGAGAGGAUGGGUUACAAUUAUAUCAUUUAUAACUACGAAUAGUUCUAUGAAAACAUAACUUGAAGGAGGACUUGAAAGUAAAAUAAUACAUAUACAAAUAAUUUGAAUAAGGCUCUGAAACGUGCACACAUCGCCCGUCGCUCUCGUUGAAAAAUGAGAUAAGUCGUAACAUAGCAGGGGUAAUGGAAAUUGCCCCUAAAUG
rnacentral:rRNA from 1 species